UGGGGAAUAUUGCACAAUGGGCGCAAGCCUGAUGCAGCAACGCCGCGUGAGGGAUGACGGCCUUCGGGUUGUAAACCUCUUUUAGCAGGGAAGAAGCGAAAGUGACGGUACCUGCAGAAAAAGCACCGGCUAACUACGUGCCAGCAGCCGCGGUAAUACGUAGGGUGCAAGCGUUGUCCGGAAUUAUUGGGCGUAAAGAGCUCGUAGGCGGUCUGUCGCGUCUGCUGUGAAAUCCCCGAGGCUCAACCUCGGGCCUGCAGUGGGUACGGGCAGACUAGAGUGCGGUAGGGGAGAAUGGAACUCCUGGUGUAGCGGUGGAAUGCGCAGAUAUCAGGAAGAACACCGAUGGCGAAGGCAGUUCUCUGGGCCGUAACUGACGCUGAGGAGCGAAAGCGUGGGGAGCGAACAGGAUUAGAUACCCUGGUAGUCCACGCCGUAAACGUUGGGCGCUAGAUGUGGGGACCAUUCCACGGUUUCCGUGUCGCAGCUAACGCAUUAA
rnacentral:rRNA from 1 species